rnacentral:rRNA from 1 species
GGUAAUGCCGGAUGCUCCAGUUGAUCGCAUGGUCUUCUGGGAAAGCUUUCGCGGUAUGGGAUGGGGUCGCGUCCUAUCAGCUUGACGGCGGGGUAACGGCCCACCGUGGCUUCGACGGGUAGCCGGCCUGAGAGGGCGACCGGCCACAUUGGGACUGAGAUACGGCCCAGACUCCUACGGGAGGCAGCAGUGGGGAAUAUUGCACAAUGGGCGCAAGCCUGAUGCAGCGACGCCGCGUGAGGGAUGGAGGCCUUCGGGUUGUAAACCUCUUUUAUCGGGGAGCAAGCGAGAGUGAGUUUACCCGUUGAAUAAGCACCGGCUAACUACGUGCCAGCAGCCGCGGUAAUACGUAGGGUGCAAGCGUUAUCCGGAAUUAUUGGGCGUAAAGGGCUCGUAGGCGGUUCGUCGCGUCCGGUGUGAAAGUCCAUCGCUUAACGGUGGAUCCGCGCCGGGUACGGGCGGGCUUGAGUGCGGUAGGGGAGACUGGAAUUCCCGGUGUAACGGUGGAAUGUGUAGAUAUCGGAAAAAAAC